AAUAAAACACCCACAUUCAAUGAAAGUAAUUAUUCAUUUUACCUGCAAGGAAUGUUGUAUGGGUUCCAUCCAACGUACAUGCAUGCAUCCAAGUUAUUUUGGGGCAAUUUGGUUGUAAGAAACCCAUAUUUAUGAUAUAAA